rnacentral:rRNA from 1 species
UACGUAGGGUCCGAGCGUUGUCCGGAAUUACUGGGCGUAAAGAGCUCGUAGGUGGUUUGUCGCGUUGUUCGUGAAAACUCACAGCUCAACUGUGGGCGUGCGGGCGAUACGGGCAGACUGGAGUACUGCAGGGGAGACUGGAAUUCCUGGUGUAGCGGUGGAAUGCGCAGAUAUCAGGAGGAACACCGGUGGCGAAGGCGGGUCUCUGGGCAGUAACUGACGCUGGAGGAGCGAAAGCCGUGGGAGCGAACAGG